UACGUAAGGUCCGAGCGUUGUCCGGAAUCAUUGGGCGUAAAGGGUACGUAGGCGGAUAAGCAAGUUAGAAGUUAAAUCCUAUAGCUCAACUAUAGCAAGCUUUUAAAACUGCUCAUCUUGAGGUAUGGAAGGGAAAGUGGAAUUCCUAGUGUAGCGGUGAAAUGCGCAGAUAUUAGGAGGAAUACCGGUGGCGAAGGCGACUUUCUGGCCAUAAACUGACGCUGAGGUACGAAAGCGUGGGUAGCAAACAGG
rnacentral:rRNA from 1 species